GAUGAAGAACGUAGCGAAAUGCGAUAAGUAAUGUGAAUUGCAGAAUUCAGUGAAUCAUCGAAUCUUUGAACGCACAUUGCACCCGCCAGUAUUCUGGCGGGCAUGCCUGUUCGAGCGUCAUUACAACCCUCAGGCCCCCGGGCCUGGCGUUGGGGAUCGGCGGAAGCCCCCUGCGGGCACAACGCCGUCCCCCAAAUACAGUGGCGGUCCCGCCGCAGCUUCCAUUGCGUAGUAGCUAACACCUCGCAACUGGAGAGCGGCGCGGCCACGCCGUAAAACACCCAACUUCUGAAUGUUGACCUCGAAUCAGGUAGGAAUACCCGCUGAACUUAAGCAUAUCAAUAAGCGGAGGA
rnacentral:misc_RNA from 1 species